UACGUAGGGUGCGAGCGUUGUCCGGAAUUAUUGGGCGUAAAGAGCUUGUAGGCGGUCUGUCGCGUCUGCUGUGAAAAUCCGGGGCUCAACCCCGGACUUGCAGUGGGUACGGGCAGACUAGAGUGUGGUAGGGGAGACUGGAAUUCCUGGUGUAGCGGUGAAAUGCGCAGAUAUCAGGAGGAACACCGAUGGCGAAGGCGCACAUCUGGCCCGAUACUGACGCUGAGGCGCGAAAGCUAGGGGAGCAAACGGG
rnacentral:rRNA from 1 species